GUUAGGUGGGGUCAGUAUCCUUAAAUCGCCUCUCUUUUGAGUAGAGUUUACAGUUCAUAUAAUAGCAGAUCAGCAGGCUGUAGGUAAAAUAACGCUCAGAGGAAGAGUAUUAUGAGCUCCAAGCUUGCAAGUGCAGUUAUAAAAAAAAAAAAGUCAUCUGUUUAAACUUUAAUCCCCACCUUUGCUGGAAUUAAGGAGACAAGGAUGAACUUUUAGCUGCUCUUGCAUUUGAUAUGGCUGAGUGCAGGGCUGUAAAUUAGAAAAUAACAAAUAUUGCUGCUAGGUAGCAUUUGCAGCCCCCUGGGGCCUUCCUGGGGCUUUAUUGACCACUGCACAGGACUAUGUGCAAGGCAGCUCGGCCUGGACACCAGUAAAGGGGAGAGAUUUGCACAAGUGCCCAGAGGACUUUGCAAGGAGGCCUUCUCAUCUCUAGGUAGUGCCAAGCAUGGGUAACCAAGAGGGUAUUUUAUGAGCCUCCAGUGUCUACUUCAGUGUGGCUAAAGGUGCUCUUAAUUAGUUUUCUAUUCAGAGGCAUUAAAUUAACUUUACUUAAAAAUAUUGCUUACUUCAUUCAAUGAAGGAAAAUUGGAUUUAGAUUUAGAAUCUCUGUACAGAUGCAAAAUUAGCUGUAAAAUCUCACAUUUUUACCACAGCAUAUGGGCAAAGCAAAAAUGCAAAUGACUUUGCAGUUCUUGAUUUGAAUAUAAGUACUAUUGUGUCUGACACCAACAUACUUUUCCACUUUUUCAGUUCGAAGUUGAGGAGACAGAUGGGAGAGGUAAGGAAAUUAGAGUCAGAAUUGGCCUCCUCUAGGUCGUUAGUCCCCUCAGGUGGGAAUGCAUCUCAUUUAGGAUGGGCCAGUGUCAGAGCCAAGCAGAUCAAGGUCUUGCUUUUUCAGUCAAAUACAUGAAGAGAGAGAAAGAUCACUGAGCAGGGAGGCCUGAGACUUUGAUAAGCCCUUUCUCAUGGGUGAGCCUAAAAAAUAAAGGAUCUUGAGCCUAGAUCAUGUCUAAAUCUCCUUCCAAGUCUAAAUCAUGCUUAUAAAUGACCAUUUUCUGUAUUAUUUCUUAUUACCCUAAAAUUUAGGGAAAAAUUUAUCUCACAAAACUCUGCACAGAAUCCAAACAUAAUAAACUCUUAUUUAUCUAAAAUCUAAAUACCUUGGAAGUUCAAAUAAUCAGAACAGUUUUUGUGAAACCAGAUAAUGUUCACAAUAAUGGUUGCUAUGUUGUACAAUGUACUAAAUUAGCUUCAGAAUCAUAAAGAAAAGAUUAAUUGCUGUUCAGUUUGGUUUUAUAAAGAGUGUUCUAAUUCUCUUCCAGGGAAAUUCUCAGGAAUGAGAAACAAAUCAGAGCAGGUCAGAAAAGAUUAAACAGCCUCCAUUAUUCCACCAGAUUCUGUCACCCUCAACAGAGAGGUUGUGGCUGGCAUUGAUUUUUUUUUCUGAUAAAUCAGAAUAUUGUCAGGCCAGGAACAAGAAGAAAAGAGUCACUGACAGCUUUAUUUCUUGGGAUCUUGAAGGACUGACCCAACUUAGAGAUUACACAGCUAUCCAGUAAAGACACUCAGAGCGUACCACAGGCUAAGCGCUCAGCAGACACUGAGUACGUGCUGAUGGAGAAAAUGGCAGAGACAAAGACCAGAGUAAUGUUGGAAAGACACAUGUUGAGGACAAGAGAGUGACAUCAUCCUGAGUUUCUAUGUGACUGUACAGAACAAAGACAACUCUCUGCCGCCUCCCCCAGUCCCCAGCCUGGAACUUAUUCCCUGGACGGCAGUAGGAGAAAUAAACCUUGACUACAUUUAAGCUAAAGUAUUUUGGGUCCAUUUCUUAUAGGGUUUUAGCUUAAUCUAAUUAAUACAUAGUUGAAAACCAAUAUAUUGUAUAGAAGAAUUUGAAUUGUAUUAGAGUUCCUAGAUGCGAUAAAACCUAAUCUGGGUGUUAAUUAGUAACAAUUGCAAAUAAUUUAGAGAUUUAAUGUGCCAGGAACUGUGCCAAGAAACAACAUGUACUAUCUAAUUGUCACAAUAGCCCUUUACAUUAUGUGUUAUUGAACCUUAACUUUGCCCGUGAAUUAAGUUUAGAACAGCCAUGUAUACAGCUACAAUGGAUGGUAGGCCCAUAAUCUGAACACAUCUACCUCUGCCUAUGAAGUCGGUGUAUGCUGGUGGGGGCUAGUGUAAAGGAAAGGCAUGUAGGUGUGUGUUAUGGGGCAGGUUGGGGCUGGGUGUGACAAUAGCUGUAGGACUUGUCCUUUCCAGUAAUAUUCUUAUAGAAAAAGAGUUCCCUUUGCUCUCCUGUUCUUCAAGCCAGUCUUGACUUCUGAAAUCUGAACUGCUCUUUUUUCCAUCAAUGCUAUGGCAAUGGGAGAACCCAGAAUAAAUUAUCUAGGUAUUUAGAGCUGAAAAAGGAGCCAAAAACCUAGCCCUCACCAACCAGCAUGCCCACUCCCAAACAGGAGCCCAGACAAUCUGAGGGACCACUAAAUAGAGAGCAUAGGGCAAUUAAAUGGAUGACCCUUCCUUUGGAGAAGGAACCCCAGAAGGAUCACAGGCUGAGAGGCAGAAAUUUGGGCCACAGAACAGAAGAAGAAGCCCAGUCAAAGGCAAAUAAAUAACCAUUGUUCAAGAUUACCAACUGCUAGCAUUGAUAAUCAAGAGGUAACUGUAAGUCUUCCUUUUUUUUGCAUCCAGAUGGUCCAGGAGGAAGUCAAAGCAAAUAAAUACAUAUACGCCUG